AUACUUUUCCAGUUCAUAAGCUUGAUUGGGUGUUCAGACAUCUGUGUGAUUUGUGCCUCCCUGAAAUCUUGUUACUCUGUCCACACAUUAACCAUCUGACA
ensembl:snoRNA